GACGAACGCUGGCGGCGCGCUUAAUACAUGCAAGUCGAACGAGAAGCCAGAGCUUGCUCUGGUGGAAAGUGGCGAACGGGUGAGUAACACGUGAGAAACCUGCCCCAAAGAUUGGGAUAAGCCUUGGAAACGAGGUCUAAUACCAAAUACCUUCUUUUUAACACAUGUUAAAAAGAAGAAAUGCUCCGGCGCUUUGGGAUGGUCUCGCGAUCUAUCAGCUUGUUGGUGAGGUAACGGCUCACCAAGGCAUCGACGGAUAGCUGGUCUGAGAGGAUGUCCAGCCACAUUGGAACUGAGACACGGUCCAAACUCCUACGGGAGGCAGCAGUAGGGAAUCUUGCACAAUGAGGGAAACCUUGAUGCAGCGACGCCGCGUGCGGGACGAAGGCCCUAGGGUUGUAAACCGCUUUCAGUAGGGACGAAAGUGACGGUACCUACAGAAGAGGCCCCGGCCAACUAUGUGCCAGCAGCCGCGGUAAU
rnacentral:rRNA from 1 species